UAGGUGGCAAGCGUUGUCCGGAUUUAUUGGGCGUAAAGCGAGCGCAGGCGGUUUCUUAAGUCUGAUGUGAAAGCCCCCGGCUCAACCGGGGAGGGUCAUUGGAAACUGGGAGACUUGAGUGCAGAAGAGGAGAGUGGAAUUCCAUGUGUAGCGGUGAAAUGCGUAGAUAUAUGGAGGAACACCAGUGGCGAAGGCGGCUCUCUGGUCUGUAACUGACGCUGAGGCUCGAAAGCGUGGGGAGCAAACAGGA
rnacentral:rRNA from 1 species